CCCCAAAAACUUUGCAAACUUAUACCUAUAUCCACCACUCACAAACAAAUCCAAGUAACAUAGUUUCCUAACAUUAUACUUGUAAAUUUCAAUACCUCUUCCGUGACAACACCACGGCGCGCAAAGUAUCUCCAUGCAGAGAUCGGAUACCCUCCAU